rnacentral:misc_RNA from 1 species
GAUGAAGAACGUAGUGAAAUGCGAUACUUGGUGUGAAUUGCAGAAUCCCGUGAACCAUCGAGUCUUUGAACGCAAGUUGCGCCCGAAGCCACUAGGCCGAGGGCACGCCUGCCUGGGCGUCACACGCCGUUGCCCCCCCAUCUACUCCUUCGGGAUUGCGGGGGGCGGAUGAUGGCCUCCCGUGCGCCUAGCCGCGCGGUUGGCAUAAAUACCAAGUCCUCGGCGACGCACGCCACGACAAUCGGUGGUUGCGAAACCUCGGUUGCCCGUCGUGUGCGUUCGUCGCGCAUCGAGGGCUCGAAAAAAUGCUCGGCUCCGGCUGGGCUUUCAACGCGACCCCAGGUCAGGCGGGGUUACCCGCUGAAUUUAAGCAUAUCAAUAAGCGGAGGA